rnacentral:rRNA from 1 species
GACGAACCGUGCGAACGUUGUUCGGAAUCACUGGGCUUAAAGGGCGCGUAGGCGGCUGGGUAAGUCUCGGGUGAAAUCUUUCGGCUCAACCGGAAACGUGCCUGGGAUACUGCUCAGCUAGAGGGAGGUAGGGGCGGACGGAACUUCCGGUGGAGCGGUGAAAUGCGUUGAUAUCGGAAGGAACGCCGGUGGCGAAAGCGGUCCGCUGGAUCUCUACUGACGCUGAGGCGCGAAAGCCAGGGGAGCAAACGGG